rnacentral:rRNA from 1 species
AACUAACGCUGGCGGCGCGCCUAAUACAUGCAAGUCGAACGAUGUAGCAAUACAUAGUGGCGCACGGGAGAGUAACACGUGGAUAAUCUCCCCUCGAGAGAAGAAUAACUAGUCGAAAGAUUGGCUAAUACUUCGUAAGACCACAGAAACAAAUGUUUCAGGGGUAAAAGUCGUAAGACGCUUGAGGAUGAGUCUGCGUCCCAUUAGCUAGUUGGUGAGGUAAUGGCUCACCAAGGCUUCGAUGGGUAGCUGGUCUGAGAGGAUGAUCAGCCUCACUGGAACUGACACACGGUCCAGACUCCUACGGGAGGCAGCAGUAGGGAAUAUUGCACAAUGGAGGAAACUCUGAUGCAGCGACGCCGCGUGAGUGAUGAAGGACUUCGGUUUGUAAAGCUCUGUUGUCAGGGAAUAAAAAAAUGAAUGUACCUGACGAGAAAGGACCGGCUAACUUACGUGCCAGCAGCCGCGGUAAU